GAUUAAGGCAAUUAAAAUAUUCUUUAAGAAUUUAUUAA
rnacentral:tRNA from 1 species